rnacentral:rRNA from 1 species
GACGGAGGAUGCAAGUGUUAUCCGGAAUCACUGGGCGUAAAGCGUCUGUAGGUGGUCAAAUAAGUCAACUGUUAAAUCUUGAGGCUCAACCUCAAAAUCGCAGUCGAAACUAUUAGACUAGAGUAUAGUAGGGGUAAAGGGAAUUUCCAGUGGAGCGGUGAAAUGCGUAGAGAUCGGCAGGAACACCCAGGGGGAAACCAGUCGACUGGGCAUCUACUGACGCUGAGGUGCGAGAGCGUGGGGAGCGAACCGG